GACGAACGCUGGCGGCGUGCUUAACACAUGCAAGUCGAACGGAAAGGCCCUGCUUUUGUGGGGUGCUCGAGUGGCGAACGGGUGAGUAACACGUGAGUAACCUGCCCUUGACUUUGGGAUAACUUCAGGAAACUGGGGCUAAUACCGGAUAGGAGCUCCUGCUGCAUGGUGGGGGUUGGAAAGUUUCGGCGGUUGGGGAUGGACUCGCGGCUUAUCAGCUUGUUGGUGGGGUAGUGGCUUACCAAGGCUUUGACGGGUAGCCGGCCGGAGAGGGUGACCGGCCACAUUGGGACUGCGAUACGGCCCAGACUCCGACGGGAGGCAGCAGUGGGGAAUAUUGCACAAUGGGCGGAAGCCUGAUGCAGCAACGCCGCGUGCGGGAUGACGGCCUUCGGGUUGUAAACCGCUUUCGCCUGUGACGAAGCGUGAGUGACGGUAAUGGGUAAAGAAGCACCGGCUAACUACGUG
rnacentral:rRNA from 1 species